rnacentral:misc_RNA from 1 species
GUUCUUUAGCAAUCAGUGCAAGUUGUUCAGCCAUGCCAUGGUUCACCUCUUCAAAACUAUAAUUCCUUGUCUCAUACUCACGUCCGAUAAGAUUCAGCACCACAUUUGCCUUUGCCAUAACAGCCUUAAUAGAGCUUUCAUCACGUGGGUUGUACUUCAUCGGAACAAUCUGGCCUAAAUCACCCAUCAACUUCAAGUGCCGGUGUGAGUCCUCGGAGCCUCGAAAGGGAACCAGAACCUGAGAUCCCAUCUUGGCAAGCUGCUGAACAACAUAGCGACCAAGGAACCCGGUCGCUCCAAACACCGUCGCAACUAACCCACUGACGGAUGAGCGGCCGCCGGUGCCCUUGCGGAUGAGAUGUCCGGUGCCCUUCUCGGCGAGGGUGGAUCCGUGCCGGUGGCUAUCAUAGCCGUACACAGAGGGAUGGGACAGGUGGGCGGAGUUGAAGGCGGCGAUCGCCGGCGAGCAGUUGAGGAGGUGAUGCCCCGAGCGCCGCCCUAGCGUCUGCAUCAUCUUCGGUCGAGAGAGAGGGAGGAGAGAGCGG